rnacentral:rRNA from 1 species
AUGGCUGAAAUCAGUGAUGCCCCAACAGUUACUUCCGGUGAGCUUGCGGUUGUAUUGCGAGCGAUGGAUGAGAAAUACAGGGCUCUGUUUGAUGCAAUCAGCAAGCAAGCUAGCAGCUCCAAAUCAGAGGCUGAAAUAAAGGAGGAGAUACAUCCCUUACAGAUGCCACAUGUGAAGUUAGAGGGUCCUGAGAACUAUGUAAGCUGGGCUGAGCAUGCUGAAACCAUCCUGGUUUCAAGGAAAUUGGAAGGAUACAUCCUUGGGACAGUAGAGAAACCUGAGGAAGAAGGUUCAAAAGAAGGCCAAAAAUGGAGAGCAACCAAUGCUUUGGUCAGGGCAUGGCUUCUGAGUUCGAUGUCUUCUCAGAUUGCAAAGCGGGUUGAGAGAAUCAAAGAUGCUUCAGAGAUUUGGAGGCUCCUGAAAGGCACAUAUUCAGGAGUGAGAAAUGAGAUGUUAGCAUGCAAAAUUCAAAAGGAGUUGCAGGAGCUGAGCCAAGGUGAGAGAAUAGUGGUGGAAUAUGUGUCUGAACUUAAAAGGUUGUGGAGUGACCUGGACUACUAUGAUCCAGUUGAAAUGGAGUGUGGGAAAUGUAUUGAGAAGCAUAGUAAGUGGACUGAGAGGAGACGUGUUAGAGACUUCCUAAAUGGCCUCCAUCCCAGGUUUGAAAAUAGGAGAGCAGCUCUAUAUGGCAGUGGGAAGCUACCAAGUCUUGAGCAAGCAAUUUCUGCAAUAGCGAGUGAAGAAACUCGGGUAAGGUUGGAGGCAGCAGGAUCGGCUUCACAGGGAGUAACGCAAAGGCGCUCAGUUUUCUUGGCUGCAGGAGGUGGAAGAUACCAAAGAACAGGAGCAGGUAACGGUGAAAGAAAAUGUUUUGAAUGUGGAUCACCAGAACAUCUUGUGGCAGGCUGCCCUAAAUUGAUGGGAGGAGGUCGUGGUAGAGGCCAGGACUGGCGAGGUAGAGCCAGAGGCAGAUUAUUUGAUGCAUGUGGUGGCCGUGGAAGAGGCAUGUUGUUUCCCGGAAGAGCAAACACUUCAACUGCCGAGGAAGUGUCUCAGAAAUUGAGCAUUGAGAUAACCCCCGAUGAGCUAGAGAAGUGGCGUCAAUUCAAGAACCUAAAUCUUUGUGUCGAACAGCCUCAGGAGUCACAUGCAUCAUCCUCUUCAUUAGCAAUUUUUUCUGGUAAUAAUUCUCAUACUGUAAUGUGUACUGAUUAUCUUGCAGCUGGUGCACAAUGGUUAAUUGACUCAGGGGCUUCGAGACAUAUGACUGGUUCUAUUAGGGAGUUGUCCAACUAUAUUCCUGUUUUUAAAAAGGAAAAUGUGAAAUUGGCUGAUGGUUCAACCCAAGCCAUUGUUGGGUCUGGAAUUGUCAAAUGCAGCCCAAAUAUGUCAUUAUCUUCAGUUUUACAUGUUCCAGCAUUCCCAAUUAAUCUUCUAUCUAUAAGCUGCAUCACUAGAGAGCUAAAUUGUGCUGCAAUAUUCUUCCCCACUUGGUGUAUUUUUCAGGAACUUGGAACUGGAAAAGAGAUUGAGAUAGGGAGCAUGCGUGAUGGGUUAUAUUACUUGGAUAGUAAUAUAUUUCCUGCAGUGGCUGCUACAGUGUCUCCCUCGUCACUAGAAGAAUUCCUACUUCAACAUCGUCGGUUGGGACAUCUUUCUUUUGCUAUUUUGGGUCAGAUUUACCUUAAUCUCUAUUGUAAAAUUAGUAAAGAACAACUAAUGUGUGAUGCUUGUCAGUAUGGAAAGCAAGUUAGGAGCUCUUAUUUAUCAUCUGAUAAUAGAAGUGAUGUGCCUUUGCAAACUAUACAUUCAGAUGUGUGGGGCCCUAGCAAAGUGACAUCUAUUAAUGGUUAUCGCUACUUUGUCACUUUCAUUGACUGCUGCACUAGAACUACCUGGGUUUAUGUGUUACGCCAUAAAAGUGAAACAUUUGAAUGCUUUAGAGAUUUCCAUAAUCUGGUUAGGACUCAAUAUAGUGCUUGUGUGAAAGUGUUACGAACUGAUAAUGGCACAGAAUAUGUGAAUGGGGACUUUGAUGAAUAUUUGUCAAACUUUGGAAUUAUCCAUCAAACUAGUUGCCCAGGUACUUCAGAACAGAAUGGUUUGGCAGAAAGGAAGAACAGGCAUAUUUUAGAAAUUGCAAGGUGCAUAAUGUUUGCCAUGAAUGUUCCAAAGUACUUGUGGAGUGAAGCAGUGAUGACUGCAGCUUAUUUGAUGAAUAGGAUACCUUCUCGGGUGCUUGGCUACAAGACACCAAUAGAGUGUCUCACUGGGAGAACUACAUAUGUAGUUCCACCAAAGGUGUUCGGGUGUACAUGUUUUGUAAAGGACUAUAGGCCUUCGGUUGGGAAGCUAGAUCCAAGAGCAGUAAAGUGUAUAUUUGUGGGGUAUUCUGGUAAACAGAAGGGCUAUAAAUGUUGGUGCCCAUCCGAGAAGAGAAUGUUUGUGAGUAUGGAUGUGGUGUUUCAUGAACAUGAACCAUUUUAUGGGGAAUCAGUCGACUUAUCUGAUGUAUUUCCCGAUUCGUUUACUGAUGACCUCUUAGAUGCAAACUAUGAGACAGGGGGAGAUAAAUAA